rnacentral:lncRNA from 1 species
UGGCCUUUAUGGAGACGCUGCCCAGAGCCAGGUCUGUGCCAGGCUCCUGUUGGGGGUCGUCAUGCGGAAUCCUGACUCUGACCAUCCGAGGCAUAGGGACCGUGGAGAUUUGCAUUUCACAGAUGAGGAAACAGGUUUGGAGAGGUGACACGACCUGUCCCAGGCUUGCUAAACAUUGGGUGGGUUCUGGCAUUUGGUUUUGUAACGUUUCUGGGUCACUCCCGCCUGUGGCCACCCUUCCUUAGGGGAGCCGUGUGUCCUUGGGGCUUUGCUGGGUGGUCUCGAGGGUGGGAGAAGAAUGGGUUCUCCUGGACCAAUGGAGCCCGUGCCCCUCGGGGCCACAUUGCUCCUGCGCUCCCUGACUGCGGACGCGUGUGUCUCGCGGCUGUCUCUGUGGAGAUGGCCUCCUCCUGCCUGGCAACAGCACCCACAGAAUUGCAUCAGACCUACCCCACCCGUUGUUUGUGAUGCUGUAGCUGAGGGCUCCUCUGUCUGCCAGGCCGGUCACUGGGGACUCUGUCCAGGUCCUGGUGGUUCCUGCUUCCCAGCACCUGAUGGUGUCCAUGAGAGCAGCCCCUCGGGAGCUGUCCGGGAGAGAAGGGCGCUGGUGGCUGCUGAGCGGAGAGCAAGGCCCGUGUUCUCC